GAUGAACGCUGGCGGCGUGCUUAACACAUGCAAGUCGAACGAUGAAGCCCAGCUUGCUGGGUGGAUUAGUGGCGAACGGGUGAGUAACACGUGAGUAACCUGCCCUUAACUCUGGGAUAAGCCUGGGAAACUGGGUCUAAUACCGGAUAGGAGCGUCCACCGCAUGGUGGGUGUUGGAAAGAUUUAUCGGUUUUGGAUGGACUCGCGGCCUAUCAGCUUGUUGGUGAGGUAAUGGCUCACCAAGGCGACGACGGGUAACCGGCCUGAGAGGGUGACCGGCCACACUGGGACUGGGACACGGCCCAGACUCCUACGGGAGGCAGCAGUGGGGAAUAUUGCACAAUGGGCGAAAGCCUGAUGCAGCGACGCCGCGUGAGGGAUGACGGCCUUCGUGUUGUAAACCUCUUUCAGUAAGGAAGAAGCGAAAGUGACGGUACCUGCAGAAGAAGCACCGGCUAACUACGUGCCAGCCGCCGCCGUAA
rnacentral:rRNA from 1 species